rnacentral:rRNA from 1 species
GACGAACGCUGGCGGCGUGCUUAACACAUGCAAGUCGAACGGAAAGGCCCUGCUUUUGUGGGGUGCUCGAGUGGCGAACGGGUGAGUAACACGUGAGUAUCCUGCCCUUGACUUUGGGAUAACUUCAGGAAACUGGGGCUAAUACCGGAUAGGAGCUCCUGCUGCAUGGUGGGGGUUGGAAAGUUUCGGCGGUUGGGGAUGGACUCGCGGCUUAUCAGCUUGUUGGUGGGGUAGUGGCUUACCAAGGCUUUGCCGGGUAGCCGGCCUGAGAGGGUGACCGGCCACAUUGGGACUGAGAUACGGCCCAGACGCCUACGGGAGGCAGCAGUGGGGAAUAUUGCACAAUGUGCGGAAGCCUGAUGCAGCAACGCCGCGUGCGGGAUGACGGCCUUCGGGUUGUAAACCGCUGUCGCCUGUGACGAAGCGUGAGUGACGGUAAUGGGUAAAGAAGCACCGGCUAACUACGUG